GGAAACCAGACAGAAGUGAGGCAUGUUGGUGUACUGGACCCACUCGUCUCAGAUUCCCUUCUUCUUCCCCGCCUCCUCCAUUCAAUUCAGCAGAUCCUCCUCCUCCCUCGGUCUGUCAUGGAAAGUAGAUUUUUUUUUGCAGAUCCAGCAUGAACCCGAGCUCGACCCCUCCACCAAUGCCAGCAAGAACAAAGGAUCCGACCGCUAGAGAUGAUGCAGGAAGGGGAACCUCCAACCUGGUCGUCAACGGGAAUGCAUGGGAGCUGUUUCAAUGGAGCAAGCGACAACGCUUAUCUGCUACCCUUUCAUGGUACUUCAUUUUUCACAAACCUAGAACCCACAUGGGUGUAUGCUGUUUAUGGUUGGUUGGUUCGACCAAAGUCAGGUGCGAGCACUAGUUGAGACUGGUUUGGUUUGCUUAUUUUAUAUGGUUGGUGUUAGUUCCAUCAACAAUGUCUUGGGUCUUUCCAAGGCAUGGUUAUGCAAACUCUGUAUUGGUUGGUAACAACACUGGAUGUUUCUCAUUAUACCUGGUGUUGAUUCCAACAGUCAAUAUGUUGAUACUUUGGCUUCAUCAGGGUCAUGGGAUACGUUGGCGAUGAACUACUCUACUACAAUUUUGGAAUUAUUAUUAAUUUUGUUGGCUUCAGGGUCAUGGGAUACGUAGGCCCGUAUCUCAUUUUGUGCAAAUGGUAAACUUGGAACGUGUUGUAUGGUGCAGCUUUCAUUUGUUGCCUGAAACAAUUUUGAUAGCAGCUUAGGUAUAUUUAGCUGCUGCCAAUGUGAUGCAAUAGCUGGAAUUGAGAUGUCCCAUGUAUGUAUGUGCAGAUUCUUUUGAUUUGAUUUGUAGCAACUGAAAUGUUGGAGUGAUAUUGGGUUGUGUGGUGGCUUGAUAAACUCAGUUCAACUUCGCUUCAAGGAAUAUUUGAACAAAUGUACCAUGCUUGGCACGUUUCAACUAAAAGGUGUCGUACUUUUUGGAAGAGCAUUUCAAAAAGAGGGGGAGUGUUUUCUUUAAUAGUUGUUUAAAUUUCCAAAAAAAAGGUUACCAGAUAUUUAAGUCUGCUAUUGUAGGAAGUUGUGGCCAUGUCAGAAUAUGGAAACUCGCGGCAACACUUACCAAAAUGAGCAAAUUGCCAUUGUACAACAGUUUAACCAAUUCACAGAACAAAAAGAGGUUCAUGGUCUAGAAUACUAUAGCAUUCAGUAGGAUUACAGAAGCACAUUUGACCCCAAGCAUACAAAUAAGUGGUUACGCAUCUAACAGGUCUGCAAGAAGUUUUGGAUGCCUCCACAAAAUUGCAAGGGAGCAAAAGAGUUCCAGGCUCUCUUUGUGCGGCAUGUUGUUCCUAGCUUUUGGCUUGAUCUUACAUGUGUUCCUAACUGGUGCUUCGUUCCUAGCUUGCUUUUGGCUUGAGCUUACAUGUGUUCGUUGCAAGACCAUCCUGAUAGCACCAGUCGCAGUGGCCACCUUGAGAAUAAAAAGAAAAGAAGGUAAGAGAAGUAGGUAAUGUACAGAAACAAUGGGCUGGAAAAACACAUGUAUAAUUUAUAUGAACAAGAAAAGACAUAUCAUACAACACUCAUGAUACUUGUUCUUGUUGAUUCCUUUUCUUUUCUUUUCAAACAUUGGUUAAACUUAAGCAAAAAUUAGUAUAACUGAAGCAUAUGACUGUUGCUUGAUGUUCCAUUCAUUUGCUAAAAAUAUAUCAAGAGGCGGCAAGUUGAUAAAAGUUAUGUGGAGAGAUUUAGAAUCAGCACAUAAAUGAUGUAACAUUUCAAUUCAUGAUUGAACCUGUGACUUGACAAGGUUAUGCGCAGAACAGAGCUUCAAUAGACAUAGUUUAGCCCAGAUUUUUAUUUCCCAAUUAAAAUAUAAGUUCCACAUAUUGACUGUUGGAAUCAACAUCAGGUAUAAUGAGCAACAUCCAGUGUUGUUACCAACCAAUACAGAGGACGCUGGUGACUAACACCAAGGCCAAUACAAAAGAUUGACUUUUCUGAAACUGUAAGCCUAGAAGUGAAAAGACAGUCAAUUCUCAGUUUGUAUCUGAUGCAGUGGUACUUUGGAAUUCCAAAAAAGAUGGAUUGCCAAGUGGUUCAAGAAUCCUGCCCCCGUAUACCUCCUGUAUGCAUCAAUAUUUGGCUACCUCAGUUCCUCGGUUGUUGAAAUUCACAAAGGGACCAAGUAAGACAACGAGGCAAUUAGCAACUUAGCAUGUCAUGGGUCAUCAAAUUUUGUAGCAUUUGUUUCUAGUAAUCUGUUAGAUAGGCAGCAGACCCAAUAGUCACUCUAAAUGAUAGUCUACAAAUUAUGUCAUCAACUAUU